AGUUGCGUGCAAUGGGCCCGAAACCGGGUGACCUACCCAUGAUCAGGCUGAAGUGGAAGUAAAAUUCCAUGGAGGGCCGAACCGACCUCCGUUGAAAAGGCGGCGGAUGAAUUGUGGGUAGCGGAGAAAUUCCAAUCGAACCCGGAGAUAGCUGGUUCUCCCCGAAAUAGUUUUAGGACUAGCCUCAUUUUAGAUACCCGGAGGUAAAGCACUGAAUAGCCUAGCGGCCGAGAGGUUAGCGAAGCUUAUCAAACUCAGAAUGCCGGAGUAUUGGUGAAUGGGAGUCAGACAGUGUCAGAUAAAUGUCAUUGUCAAAAGGGAAACAGCCCAGAUCUACAGCUAAGGUCCCAAAGUCAGGUCAAGUGGAAAACGAUGUGAAGAUACGCAGACAACCAGGAUGUUGGCUCAGAAGCAGCCACUCAUUUAAAGAGUGCGUAAUAGCUCACUGGUCGAGCGUCUUUGCGCGGAGAAUUUAACGGGGCUAAACCUGACACCGAAGCUUAGGCAGCGUCGCAAGAUGCUGGGUAGGGGAGCGUUGUAUACGCGGAGAAACAGUAGCGCAAGCGGCUGUGGAGUGUAUAGAAGUGAGAAUGCCGGAAUGAGUAGCGCGAAUGCAGUGAGAAUCUGCAUGGCCGAAAGCCUCAGGUUUUUGGAGGAAGGUUCGUCCGCUCCAAGUUAGUCGGGAGCUAAGGUGAGGCCGGAAGGCGUAGCCGAUGCACAGACGGUGGAGAUUCCGUCACCACCAAAAGAGUUAAGCAUGGGGACACAUCUGAAGUGUCGGAGCCGGGAGUUGGUUCCGGUAGAGAUCGAGGGAAAUGAGUACCGAAGUCCGGCAUGGAAGGUGGCGAGAAAAGCCAUGUGUAUUUCUGAGGUGCCCGUACCGCAAACCGACACAGGUAGGUAGGAAGAAGAUUCUAAGGCCAACGGGAGAAGGGUUGUUAAGGAACUCGGCAAAUUGACCCCGUAACUUCGGGAGAAGGGGUGCUGCAGAGAUGCAGCCGCAGGGAAACGGCCCAAGCAACUGUUUACCAAAAACACAGGUUUGUGCUAAAUCGAAAGAUGACGUAUACGAGCUGACGCCUGCCCGGUGCUGGAAGGUUAAGAGGAGAUGUGAGAGCAUUGAAUUGAAGCCCCAGUGAACGGCGGCCGUAACUAUAACGGUCCUAAGGUAGCGAAAUUCCUUGUCAGGUAAGUUCUGACCCGCA
rnacentral:rRNA from 1 species